rnacentral:rRNA from 1 species
UGGGGAAUCUUGCGCAAUGGGCGCAAGCCUGACGCAGCGACGCCGCGUGGGCGACGAAGGCCUUCGGGUUGUAAAGCCCUGUGGGGCGGGACGAACCGCCACCCCGCGAAUAGGGGGGUGGUCUGACGGUACCGCCUUAGCAAGCACCGGCUAACUCUGUGCCAGCAGCCGCGGUAAGACAGAGGGUGCGAACGUUGCUCGGAAUCACUGGGCGUAAAGCGCGUGUAGGCGGCGCCGCACGUCGGGUGUGAAAGCCCGGGGCUCAACCCCGGACGUGCACCCGAAACGACGGCGCUGGAGUCCUGGAGAGGCGGGCGGAAUUCCCGGUGUAGAGGUGAAAUUCGUAGAUAUCGGGAGGAACACCAGUGGCGAAGGCGGCCCGCUGGCCAGGAACUGACGCUGAGACGCGAAAGCGUGGGGAGCAAACAGGAUUAGAUACCCCUGUAGUCC